AACUGAUACUACCUGCGGGAACCUGCGGAAGGAUCAUUAUCGAGUUUACAACUCCCAAACCAUUGUGAAUCUUACCUUUUCGUUGCUUCGGCGGGAUCGCCCCGGGCGCUUCGGUGCCCCGGAUUCAGGCGCCCGCCGGGGGACCUAAACUCUUGUAUUAUAGUGGAUUUCUGAGUGGAUUACACAAAUAAUCAAAACUUUCAACAAUGGAUCUCU
rnacentral:misc_RNA from 1 species